rnacentral:lncRNA from 1 species
AAGACGGGUGAUUUCUGCAUUUCCAACUGAGAAAUCUGGAAAAAAGAAGCACAAACUAAGAGAUUAAAAUCAUCUACAAUUCCAUCAUGCAGAGGAAACUACAGGGGCUUUGGAACUGCACAUAGAAAAACUAUGACUUCCUCAGGAUACAAAAUCAAUGUGCAAAAAUCCCAAGCAUUCCUAUACACCAGCAAUAGACAAGC